rnacentral:rRNA from 1 species
GAACGAACGCUGGCGGCAGGCCUAACACAUGCAAGUCGAGCGAGACCUUCGGGUCUAGCGGCGGACGGGUUAGUAACGCGUGGGAACGUGCCCUUCUCUGCGGAAUAGCCACUGGAAACGGUGAGUAAUACCGCAUACGCCCUUCGGGGGAAAGAUUUAUCGGAGAAGGAUCGGCCCGCGUUAGAUUAGAUAGUUGGUGGGGUAAUGGCCUACCAAGUCUACGAUCUAUAGCUGGUUUUAGAGGAUGAUCAGCAACACUGGGACUGAGACACGGCCCAGACUCCUACGGGAGGCAGCAGUGGGGAAUCUUAGACAAUGGGCGCAAGCCUGAUCUAGCCAUGCCGCGUGUGUGAUGAAGGUCUUAGGAUCGUAAAGCACUUUCGCCAGGGAUGAUAAUGACAGUACCUGGUAAAGAAACCCCGGCUAACUCCGUGCCAGCAGCCGCGGUAAUACGGAGGGGGUUAGCGUUGUUCGGAAUUACUGGGCGUAAAGCGUACGUAGGCGGAUCAGAAAGUAAGGGGUGAAAUCCCAGGGCUCAACCCUGGAACUGCCUCUUAAACUCCUGGUCUUGAGUUCGAGAGAGGUGAGUGGAAUUCCAAGUGUAGAGGUGAAAUUCGUAGAUAUUUGGAGGAACACCAGUGGCGAAGGCGGCUCACUGGCUCGAUACUGACGCUGAGGUACGAAAGUGUGGGGAGCAAACAGGAUUAGAUACCCUGGUAGUCCACACCGUAAACGAUGAAUGCCAGUCGUCGGGCAGUAUACUGUUCGGUGACACACCUAACGGAUUAAGCAUCCGC